rnacentral:tRNA from 12 species
CGAUAGCUCAGUCGGACGAGCGUUGGACUUCUGAUCCAAAGGUCGCAAGUUCAAUUCCCC